GAUGAACGCUAGCGGCAGGCCUAACACAUGCAAGUCGAGGGGUAGAGGAAGCUUGCUUCCUUGAGACCGGCGCACGGGUGCGUAACGCGUAUGCAAUCUACCUUUUACAGAGGGAUAGCCCAGAGAAAUUUGGAUUAAUACCUCAUAGUAUCUUUGCCUGGCAUCGGGUGAUUAUUAAAGUUCCAACGGUAAAAGAUGAGCAUGCGUCCUAUUAGCUAGAUGGUAAGGUAACGGCUUACCAUGGCAACGAUAGGUAGGGGUCCUGAGAGGGAGAGCCCCCACACUGGUACUGAGACACGGACCAGACUCCUACGGGAGGCAGCAGUGAGGAAUAUUGGACAAUGGGCGCAAGCCUGAUCCAGCCAUGCCGCGUGCAGGAAGACGGUCCUAUGGAUUGUAAACUGCUUUUGUACGGGAAGAAACACUCCCUCGUGAGGGAGCUUGACGGUACCGUAAGAAUAAGGAUCGGCUAACUCCGUGCCAGCCGCCGCAGUAAUAC
rnacentral:rRNA from 1 species